UACGGAGGGCGCAAGCGUUGUUCGGAAUCAUUGGGCGUAAAGCGCGUGUAGGCGGCUUGGUAAGGCGGAUGUGAAAUCCCGGGGCCCAACCCCGGAACUGCAUUCGAUACUGCCUCGCUAGAGUCCCGGAGAGGAGAGCGGAAUUCCCGGUGUAGAGGUGAAAUUCGUAGAUAUCGGGAGGAACACCAGCGGCGAAGGCGGCUCUCUGGACGGUGACUGACGCUGAGACGCGAAAGCGUGGGGAGCAAACAGG
rnacentral:rRNA from 1 species